rnacentral:rRNA from 1 species
CAGCAGCCGCGGUAAUACGGAGGGUGCAAGCGUUAAUCGGAAUUACUGGGCGUAAAGCGCACGCAGGCGGUCUGUCAAGUCAGAUGUGAAAUCCCCGGGCUUAACCUGGGAACUGCAUUUGAAACUGGCAGGCUAGAGUCUUGUAGAGGGGGGUAGAAUUCCAGGUGUAGCGGUGAAAUGCGUAGAGAUCUGGAGGAAUACCGGUGGCGAAGGCGGCCCCCUGGACAAAGACUGACGCUCAGGUGCGAAAGCGUGGGGAGCAAACAGGAUUAGAUACCCCUGUAGUCCCUGUCUCUUAUAA